GGUGGCUCAGUGGUAGAGUGCUUGUCUUGCAUGCAUGAGGACCUGGGUUCCAUUCCUCAGCACCA
rnacentral:tRNA from 1 species